rnacentral:rRNA from 1 species
AUACGUAGGUGGCAAGCGUUGUCCGGAAUUAUUGGGCGUAAAGCGCGCGCAGGCGGUCCUUUAAGUCUGAUGUGAAAGCCCACGGCUCAACCGUGGAGGGUCAUUGGAAACUGGGGGACUUGAGUGCAGAAGAGGAAAGUGGAAUUCCAAGUGUAGCGGUGAAAUGCGUAGAGAUUUGGAGGAACACCAGUGGCGAAGGCGACUUUCUGGUCUGUAACUGACGCUGAGGCGCGAAAGCGUGGGGAGCAAACAGGAUUAGAUACCCUGGUAGUCCACGCCGUAAACGAUGAGUGCUAAGUGUUAGGGGGUUUCCGCCCCUUAGUGCUGCAGCUAACGCAUUAAGCACUCCGCCUGGGGAGUACGGUCGCAAGACUGAAACUCAAAGGAAUUGACGGGG